rnacentral:tRNA from 2 species
GCCGGGGUGCCCGAGUGGCUAGGGGGCUGGCUGCAGACCAGCUACACAGGGGUUCAAAUCCCCUCCCCGGCU